CAGGCCAUGUCAAAUUCCUUCUCCGGUUAAAGAUCUCGUCGAGAACGGUUGUGCGCGCAAACGAAUCUUUUGUAAGAAGUGCCAUCAUAGGAAAAUUCCCUUGUGAAACAACUCGACACGGUACGGAAAAGACAUACCUUUCGGUUGAUCGCGAUUUUGGCUCACGCACCCGCUGAUUCCCUUGCUCGUACAAGUGGAGUCUCGCGACAGAUCCCGCUCGGAAGAAAGACGCCACAGCUCCAAAGACCGGACGGUCUUUCGCUUGUUGCGUGGGGCAGCGACCCACGCUAUUUAAACGCACCCCAUCGUCCAGUCGCCGGCUAAGUAAGCCGCAGAGCGCAGUCAGCCGGGGGCUGGAAUAAGCAAACGCCUUCCCGCUUGGAACCCCCUCGCCUGCGAGGAGCACCCUAGACAGGGUUAAACAGCAGCGCGCGCCAAGGCGCGUGAAGAAGAAGCAGGAGCAAAUCAGGGAUGCUGCAGUGCUAAAGCCACCUGCGGCCAUCGUUCUCUUGGUUGCCCGAGCGCAGACCAUGCGGCAGUGCUAAAGCCACCUGCGGCCUUCGUUUUCUUGGUUGCCGAACGCAGACCAUGCUACAGUGAUAAAGCCACCUGCGGCCUUCGUUUACUUGGUUGCCGAACGCAGACCAUGCUACAGUGAUAAAGCCACCUGCGGCCUUCGUUUCCUUGGUUGCCGAACGCAGACCAUGCUACAGUGAUAAAGCCACCUGCGGCCUUCGUUUUCUUGGUUGCCGAACGCAGACCAUGCUACAGUGAUAAAGCCACCUGCGGCCAUCGUCUUCCUGGUUGCCCAAUCGUCGGCCAAACAGAGGCAGAAUUCUCCGCCUUCGGCUGUCCUCUUCGCCCCGACUCUGUCCAGGAUUCCUCUUCCAGCAGCUUCAGGGAGCACAGUUCACCAAAUCAUAGGGUUCAGCGGAUGCUAGCCUCGUCUAUUACCAUCCUAAUGUUUAAAGUAUAAAAUCUCACAAAAUUUGUAUAUUCAUGAAGAAUAAUUAUCAGCCAACCUCAUUAA